rnacentral:rRNA from 1 species
UCGUGUCGUGAGAUGUUGGGUUAAGUCCCGUAACGAGCGCAACCCCUAUCCCUGGUUGCUAGCAGGUAAUGCUGAGAACUCCAGGGAGACUGCCGGUGACAAACCGGAGGAAGGUGGGGAUGACCGUCAGGUCACAUGGCCCUUACGGCCAGGGCUACACACGUGCUACAAUGGCGCGUACAGCGGGCUGCGAACUCGCGAGAGUAAGCCAAUCCCUUAAAACGCGUCGUAGUCCGGAUCGGAGUCUGCAACUCGACUCCGUGAAGUCGGAAUCGCUAGUAAUCGCGAAUCAGAAUGUCGCGGUGAAUACGUUCCCGGGUCUUGUACACACCGAA